rnacentral:piRNA from 1 species
UACCAGUGGAAGCAAUGGAAAAGCAGAG